AUAUAGCAUGUGAAGUACAGGAUGAGAAGCUGUGUAGGUUCGAGCCGAGCGAAGCGAGACAGCGUUGUGCUUCGCACAACGACCCGAAGGGCGAGGGCGUAAGGCCGAGUUAUCCUGUACGACCCACCA
rnacentral:sRNA from 1 species